UACGGAGGGGGCUAGCGUUAUUCGGAAUUAUUGGGCGUAAAGGGCGCGUAGGCGGCCCGGUAAGUCAAAGGUGAAAUCCCUCGGCUCAACUGAGGAACUGCCUUUGAAACUGUCGGGCUUGAGGCCGGGAGGGGGUAGCGGAAUUCCCAGUGUAGCGGUGAAAUGCGUAGAUAUCAUGAGGAAUACCAGAGGCGAAGGCGGCUACCUGGACAAUUGCUGACGCUCAGGCACGAAAGCGUGGGGAGCAAAAGGG
rnacentral:rRNA from 1 species